rnacentral:lncRNA from 1 species
UGGAACUUGGGUUAAAUGCAUGGAAUUUAUUCUUAGUCCUUUUCUUAAUUACGACUUUUUAUUUCUCUGGUGUUCUCUAGGGGAGGGGUUAGAGAAGAGAGGAAAAGGAAGAAAGAAAGGGGGCAGGGAAAUAUAGAUUCAAUGCUUUUGUUUUGUUUCUGGGCUGCUUGCUAUCAGCAAAGUAGAGAGAUUUAACGGAUCUUGCCGAGAAUGCAAGCCUCAUUCCAAGGAAGCCAGAGCUCAGAAGACAUGGAACAAAUACAAUGAAAACAUAACUUGAGUGUGAUUUCAUUAUGAAGUCAGAUGGAAUGAGGAGUGUGUAAAUCCAGAAUCAGAAUCCCAGCGACGAAGCUUUUCUUGCUCUGUUACCUUGGAAAAUGCUUUGAACCAGACCAGAUAAGAAAAGUAAAAGUCUGGAGUGUAAUCCUUCCAAUUGUCUUUUGGCUUCUCUUCUACUUCUACAAAAAGUUCAACAAAAAUUAGAAUUUGAAACAACGGAAAGAGAGAAAUUUUAGGUUAGUAGCUAAAUCCCCAAGGAUACUAAUUAGAGAAAGAUGUUGGAAUUGCCUUAAUGAGUCACUGCCAACGCAAGUCCUAAGGAAGCAAAGACUGUGAGUAAGCAAAGGUAGCCAGCUGCUGGGAAGAGGACAAUAGAGGAAAAGGUCAGAGGGACUUUAAAAGACUGACUGUGGGCUCCCUGAGGGAAGGAGGGAUGGAGAGAGUAUCGGGUCCUAUAGAAUACCUUAAUUGUUUUUAUGACUUCUCUUUUCCAUAUCCAGUUCACAUGUACUCCUUUCUGUGCAUUAAAUUGAGUUUCUAUUGGCUUCUUUGUAACAAAAAGAACUGAACAGAAACACAUAUCUAUUGGACAAAGAGCAAUAAAAUGAUAUAAUAACUGUA